ACAUGCAAGUCGAGCGGAUGAGAGGAGCUUGCUCCUCGAUUCAGCGGCGGACGGGUGAGUAAUGCCUAGGAAUCUGCCUAGUAGUGGGGGACAACGUUUCGAAAGGAACGCUAAUACCGCAUACGUCCUACGGGAGAAAGUGGGGGAUCUUCGGACCUCACGCUAUUAGAUGAGCCUAGGUCGGAUUAGCUAGUUGGUAGGGUAAAGGCCUACCAAGGCGACGAUCCGUAACUGGUCUGAGAGGAUGAUCAGUCACACUGGAACUGAGACACGGUCCAGACUCCUACGGGAGGCAGCAGUGGGGAAUAUUGGACAAUGGGCGAAAGCCUGAUCCAGCCAUGCCGCGUGUGUGAAGAAGGCCCUCGGGUCGUAAAGCACUUUAAGUUGGGAGGAAGGGCUUACAGCGAAUACCUGUGAGUUUUGACGUUACCGACAGAAUAAGCACCGGCUAACUUCGUGCCAGCAGCCGCGGUAAUACGAAGGGUGCAAGCGUUAAUCGGAAUUACUGGGCGUAAAGCGCGCGUAGGUGGCUUGAUAAGUUGGAUGUGAAAUCCCCGGGCUCAACCUGGGAACUGCAUCCAAAACUGUCUGGCUAGAGUGCGGUAGAGGGUAGUGGAAUUUCCAGUGUAGCGGUGAAAUGCGUAGAUAUUGGAAGGAACACCAGUGGCGAAGGCGACUACCUGGACUGACACUGACACU
rnacentral:rRNA from 1 species